GCAGCACAGAGGAAGCCUUCCAGUAAGACUUCAGAAGUUAAACCAGGUGAAAGCAAGGAAAUACCUGCAAAGAAGCUGGUUUCAACACCUGUGAAAUCAUCUAAGCCAGAUAGUGUGAAGAGGGACCCGGCAGAAAAGGUACCUGAUCCUACCAUGCUUAUUAUGAAGUUUCCAUCUAAUGGAGCUCUUCCCUCCAUUUCUGAGCUGAAGGCGAGGUUUGCCCGUUUUGGGGCUCUA
rnacentral:misc_RNA from 1 species